rnacentral:lncRNA from 1 species
UGAAGACAUACCAUUUGUCUAUUGCUAUUUGCAACAAAUUAUCACACACUCGGUGACUUACAACUGUGGGAACUGUGGGCUGUGGAGAUGGCUUAGUAGGUUAAGGCACUUGCCUCCAAGCCUGACAACUGGAAUUUGAUCGCCAAGACCACAUGGUGGCAGGAGAGAACUAACUCCCGAAAGUCAUUGUCUGACCUCCAGCCAGUUCACAAUAAAUAAAUGAAAAAACAACGCAAGCCCAGUCAUGAACUUACUAUUUGGGAUCUUGGGUAUCAGAUAGCCUAAGAUGCACGUUGGUGAAAUAAAGCCAGAGCGUUUGAUUCCUUCUGGAGGCACUAGAGAACCCAUCCCUUGUCUCUUUCAGUGUCUAGAGGAGGAUUGUGUUCUUGGAACUGUCAGCCCCAGUUCUCUUUUUCAGUCUACAGGGACAGAGACAGUGGCACCAAUAUAUGUCAUAGCAUACCCUGAAUACAACAGCCCAACAAAGGGUCUAUCUGCAAACAUGCUUGUUGAUACAGAUGUAGUCUAUCUUCAGGGUGGAAUCAAUAACUACCCUAUACUCCCCACCAAGCAAAUUAUGUGGAUAGGGGCCUUCUUUGCAGGAAGGGUUUCUUUAAAAUAAGACAUGAAAGCCUGCCACUUACAAAAACAGUGCUGUAUGAGUUGGGACUGCUGUAAGUAACCAUAAGUAAGAAGAUAAGCCAUAGAUCUGGGAAAUACUUUAUAUGAGGUGGGACUGGCAAGUAUUGCUAUCCAGAAUGCAUCUAAGCAAAUCCUAGAAAGUCAAUGAGAAAAUUAUUGCUGUAUGUAAAAAUAAUCAUUCUUAAACUUUUGGUCUCAAGACCUUUUUAAACUCUUAAAGCAGAAUCAAAAAGUUUCAGCGUGUGGGGGCAGUAGUUAGUGACAGUCACUGUAUUUAGACUUAAAAUUGAGAGAGUGUAAGAGGCAUUACCUUAACACUUAACAUUCGUCAUUAGUGGACUGAAGAGAUGGCUUAGUAGCAAAGGACUUGUACAGCAUAAGGCCCUGCGUUUGGAUUCAUAGCAUCCGUGUAAGAGCCGGAUGUGGUUGUGUAUCUAUAACCCUAGCUCUGGGGGUUGGAGACACACCAGUGACUUGCUGGCUACCUGGUCUAGUUGAAAUGGCAAGCUCUAGGUUUGGUGAGAGAGUGUGCCUCAAAAAGUAUAAAUAUAUUCAACAUCAACCUCUGGCCUCUGCAUUCUCUCUCUCUCCUUCUCUCUCUCUCUCUCUCUCUCCAUACUAGAUAGUAAUUUUAAUAGACAAAAUUUCAAAACAUUUCAUGAAAAGAGAAACACUAUUUACAUCUUCCAGUGUCUUGGAUGCGACCUCCCCUGUCACAUCUGACUCCAGCUCCCCUCCACUGACAAAGAUCUGUGAUUUCACUGGGCUCGCCUGGAUCACCCAAGAUAAGCUUCCCAUUUUAAGAUCCUUAAUAUAUAGUCUAUCUCUGUUUUCCUCUCAUCUUGCUCUCACUUUGGUGCGCUAGAGAUUGCACCCAGGGCCAAAAGCAUGUUACCUCUCCAACUGAGAUAUAGCCUCUCUCUACAAAGUCCCCUCUGCCAUGUAAAGAAAUGUUCACAACUUUGCAGCUUGCAAGAUUUAAAAGACAUAUAUUUGGGGCAGGAAUAAUAUUUUAUUUGUAUAUUUCACUCAAGGGAUACACAGGCUAGAUGGUAAUGCUACAGGAUAUAGAGGCUAGUUUUGCUAUAAACUUGGGUCUGUAGGCACCUAAUGGCUAACUUUUUAAUAGAACUAUAUUGCAUCUCUGGUUUUUUUUGUAUUUAUUUCCUUAACUGUUUGACAGCUUUGGGUCAGAUUUCUGUUCAGCUCUGCGUAUAGGAAUGUUAACCACUUAAAAAGUAUUCCUGAUAACCUGUAAAGGUGAAAGAUGCCAAGAUAGAGUAACUAAGAUAUUUUCAAGGUCUCUUUGGUAUCAGAAUCAAUAAAUUGCCACCUGCUAGCUUUUUUUUUUUCUUGGUUUGAAUCCUUUAUUAGAAACCAUGCAAACUUCAAUUAAAAAGUACACAUGCAAUAAAAAUCUAAGUGUUGGUACAAUUCCCGGGAUUUUCUCAACAUUGCAGCAAUCCCAUCCGUGAGCAGACCACGCUGAGAUGACUGCACCACCAUGGCUGGCCUCUCCUGCUCCUCCUUCUUCAGUCACACCAGAAGAGAAGUGGGAUGGCCUCAGUCUCAUUUAUCCCAUUAUACCAUGCCCAUAGCCAGGGUGGUACCCAAAAGUGUCAAGUCAUCUCCCCGUUAUCGGUUAGCUCUGACCUCCAGGAGCAAGCUUCUCACGAUGGAGAACCAAGUUGCUUCCUCAGAUGGCAGUGAUUUCCCUGGAGGUGGACAACCAGUUCUGCUAAUGAUAAAGCAGACUAGGGUGGCCAGGAUGGCUUGGCUAUGCAUGGUUCUCCUUUCUUGUUUCUUUUUUAAGGGGAAGGCUGUUAAGGAUUAAACCCAGAGCCCAAUGCGUCUUGAACACAUACUAUGCCUGAACUACGCAGCUUCACCAUGUAGUGCAGAACAACCUGCAUUUGUUACAAAACUCAGGCUUCCUCAAACUCAGGGUCCUUCUGCUUCAGCCUCUGCAGAGCUAGGAGUGUAUCACUCAGCUUGUGUGCUGGCAUACUUCUUAGCCUCUUUCUCUCUAGAAUCCUGAUGCAUAUGUCACAAGAUAGAACAGAAGAUCCUUGGUCCCCCAUCACUUAUCUUUCUGAUAACGGUGUUUUGAAUAAAUCCCUUUGCUGC